AAGCAUUAGAAUUGGUAUGUUUUGGUUUUUUACUUUUAACUCAAGUAUAGCAAGUUUUUAGGUAGUGCUCGUUGAAAGAAUUUACUGGAUUUGAAAGAGUGAGGGAAAGAAAACUUGUCAAAACCAUUUCUUCCAUGCAUGGCUGAGCUCGUCAAUAAAAACCCCAAACACCUUAUUUCCCCUUUCUCUGUCUCCAGCUUUCUUACCAGAGCUGCGCAGAAGAACAAUGAUGAGUGAAUAAAAGGGUACGUGCGAAACUUCAAACAUAGCAACUAUUUGUGCUUUGUUUUAACCAAGCAGCGUUGGAGAAAUAAAAUGAGCUCAAUCGUUCAUUGCCGCCUUAAGGAAGCAUCCGGUUAUCUGUUAGCUUCACCGUAGAAUAGGACAGUAGACAAGUGACAGAUAAGCUUUUUUGAAACUGCAGGUGGACAUGCCUUUCAAAGCUGUAGUGUCCGAGUUUGU